GACGAACGCUGGCGGCGCGCUUAACACAUGCAAGUCGAACGGAAAGGCCUGCUUUCCCUUGUGGGUUGCGGGUACUCGAGUGGCGAACGGGUGAGUAACACGUGAGCGAUCUGCCCCCAACUUGGGUAUAAGCCUGGGAAACUGGGUCUAAUUCCCGAUAGGACCGCAGGGUGGUGCCGGUGGUGGAAAACGAUUUUCUAGUGGUUGGGGAUGAGCUCGCGGCCUAUCAGCUUGUUGGUGGGGUAAUGGCCUACGAAGGCGGCGACGGGUAGCCGGCCUGGGGGGGUCGGCGGCCCCGUUGGGACUGCGAUACGGCCCAGACUCCUACGGGCGGCAGCCGUGGGGAAUAUUGCACGAUGGGCGGAAGCCUGAUGCAGCGACGCCGCGUGGGGGAUGACGGCCUUCGGGUUGUAAACUCCUUUCGACCGCGAGGAAGCCACCUGGUUGGAAGGGUGGUGACGGUAGUGGUAGAAGAAGCACCGGCUAACUACGUG
rnacentral:rRNA from 1 species